rnacentral:lncRNA from 1 species
AGCAACGAAGUCUGUCUACCAGCAUUUAGUACACUGAGUGAGGGAAGACCAUCGCAGGGUGGGAAGGUUUCAGCUUCACUUCGCAACCCAGGCUCUGGAAGUAUGUCAUCUUCCAAUUGCUUCAUCAUUGCCUACUCUCCUAACCACAGGCAUAGCGCGUCAGAAGACUGAAACCCAACUCAGCCAACCAUCUAUUCACAUGCCAUCAUCCACGAGUUUGUUGACAUCUCUCAUUUGCUGUUGUCUCUCCUCAUUCUUUCUGUCCUCAUAGGUUUAUAAGUUUUCAUUUUCUUUCUUUAAAAACUCAUUUUAAGGACACCAUUAUUUUUAAAAAAAGCAAUAGAAAAUAACAAGUAUGGGCAAAGACGUGGAGAAAUUGGAACCGUCGCACACUGCUGGUGGAAAUGUAAAAUGGCAGAGUUC